UGGGGAAUUUUGGACAAUGGGCGAAAGCCUGAUCCAGCAAUGCCGCGUGUGUGAAGAAGGCCUUCGGGUUGUAAAGCACUUUUGUCCGGAAAGAAAUCCUUGGCUCUAAUACAGUCGGGGGAUGACGGUACCGGAAGAAUAAGCACCGGCUAACUACGUGCCAGCAGCCGCGGUAAUACGUAGGGUGCAAGCGUUAAUCGGAAUUACUGGGCGUAAAGCGUGCGCAGGCGGUUUGCUAAGACCGAUGUGAAAUCCCCGGGCUCAACCUGGGAACUGCAUUGGUGACUGGCAGGCUAGAGUAUGGCAGAGGGGGGUAGAAUUCCACGUGUAGCAGUGAAAUGCGUAGAGAUGUGGAGGAAUACCGAUGGCGAAGGCAGCCCCCUGGGCCAAUACUGACGCUCAUGCACGAAAGCGUGGGGAGCAAACAGGAUUAGAUACCCUGGUAGUCCACGCCCUAAACGAUGUCAACUAGUUGUUGGGGAUUCAUUUCCUAGUAACGUAGCUAACGCGUGAAGUUGACCGCCUGGGGAGUACGGUCGCAAGAUUAAAACUUAAUGAAUUGACGGGGUCAUAGCUGUUUCCU
rnacentral:rRNA from 1 species